rnacentral:lncRNA from 1 species
UAACAUAUAAAAAUCACAAGAGUAGCAGUCAUGUGUCGAUCAGAAUUGUCACAUGGAUUUAGAUACUAAUCAAUAAAAUAUUAAUAUCUCUUUUAUUGUAACUGUUAACGAGACUUUCUAUUUUUGACAUUUAUUGGAGAAUUUUACAUUUGCAUAGUUACUUUUUAGGAAAAUAUUUAGAUAACCAGUUACUUAUAUGUAAAUUUUUUUUUUAUUAUUUUAUUUUUUAUUAUUUUAUUAUUUUAUUAUUAUUAUUUUUAUUUUUAUUUUUUUUAUCAGCGUUACUUAUAUGUAAAUGUUUUGACACUUACUUAGAAUGUAUUCUAUAAGAAAAACUUGUUACGAAUCAUCAUAUUAUUGAUGUAUUAUAUAAUAAAUGGCUAUCUAGAGAUAGUUAUUUUUUUAUAAAUAUUUUAAUACUUUGUUUUGUUUGGAUGAGUCUUGAUUCUUAUUAUUAAAUAUUUUCAGAAACUAUUAAGUGAUUUUAUUGUAAUGUUAUUUGUUGUGACAUUUAUUAAUGAUAUCCUUACUUAUUCAUGAAGUGAUGCAUUCACUGAAUCAUUAGUAAUACAAGUCAGGCUUGUCAGGAAUAAAUAUCCCUGGAAUUAAACCUGGUGCUGCUAUUAAAUAUAAUUAUCACUAAAUAAUUAUUUUAAUGAGUAUUUUUUGGCAUAAAAUUUAAAUUUAUGACAUUACUAAUUAUUUUCUUAGUAGAGAUUUUCAUGGAUUAUAAGUCUCAUGUUAAUUUUUUUUAGUCUUUUAAUAUAUCACUUAUCUAUUUAUUUGUUUACUGAUAAAACAAACUCUUCUACAUGUAUGUCUUUUUUGUUGGUUAAAAUAUAUUAAGGUCACAAAAUUAUUAAUAAAUUCUAACCAGAAAUAAAUAAAAAAGUGUGUAAAACACAUUAGAAUGUGUUAUUACUACUAGUUGUAUUGCUUCAAUAUUUUAUUGUCUCUUUUUAUGCCAAGAUGAUUUAGUCUCUUAAUCAAAGCAACUCAUUUUGUAUUGUAUGUGCACCUUUCUCAACAAAAGAUUCUUACUCCCUAAAAUUAAAAAUUAAAAAGUACAGAAGGAGAAAAACAAAACCAUUUGAAGAUUCUUUCUGAUUGAUUUUCAUCAUGCAUGAGACAAACAGAUGCCAAUAUAUUUUUGAAGGUGACAGAUGCCAAUAUUUGAAUGACUUUGGUU